UGAACGCUGGCGGCGUGCCUAAUACAUGCACGUCGCGCGAACAGACGAGGAGCUUGCUCCUCUGACGUUAGCGGCGGACGGGUGAGUAACACGUGGAUAACCUACCUAUAAGACUGGGAUAACUUCGGGAAACCGGAGCUAAUACCGGAUAAUAUAUUGAACCGCAUGGUUCAAUAGUGAAAGACGGUUUUGCUGUCACUUAUAGAUGGAUCCGCGCCGCAUUAGCUAGUUGGUAAGGUAACGGCUUACCAAGGCGACGAUGCGUAGCCGACCUGAGAGGGUGAUCGGCCACACUGGAACUGAGACACGGUCCAGACUCCUACGGGAGGCAGCAGUAGGGAAUCUUCCGCAAUGGGCGAAAGCCUGACGGAGCAACGCCGCGUGAGUGAUGAAGGUCUUCGGAUCGUAAAACUCUGUUAUUAGGGAAGAACAAAUGUGUAAGUAACUAUGCACGUCUUGACGGUACCUAAUCAGAAAGCCACGGCUAACUACGUG
rnacentral:rRNA from 1 species